rnacentral:miRNA from 1 species
ACUCUCUCUCUCUCUCUCUCUCUC